UACAGAGGUCUCAAGCGUUGUUCGGAUUCAUUGGGCGUAAAGGGUGUGUAGGUGGCGCGCUAAGUCGGGUGUGAAAUUUCGGAGCUUAACUGCGAAACUGCAUUCGAUACUAGCGUGCUUGAGGACUGGAGAGGAGACUGGAAUUCAUGGUGUAGCAGUGAAAUGCGUAGAGAUCAUGAGGAAGACCAGUGGCGAAGGCGGGUCUCUGGACAGUUCCUGACACUGAGACACGAAGGCCAGGGGAGCAAACAGG
rnacentral:rRNA from 1 species